GACGAACGCUGGCGGCGUGCCUAAUACAUGCAAGUAGAACGCACAGUUUAUACCGUAGCUUGCUACACCAUAGACUGUGAGUUGCGAACGGGUGAAUAACGCGUAGGUAACCUGCCUGGUAGCGGGGGAUAACUAUUGGAAACGAUAGCUAAUACCGCAUAAUAUUGAUUAUUGCAUGAUAAUUAAUUGAAAGGUGCAAUUGCACCACUACCAGAUGGACCUGCGUUGUAUUAGCUAGUAGGUGAGGUAACGGCUCACCUAGGCGACGAUACAUAGCCGACCUGAGAGGGUGAUCGGCCACACUGGGACUGAGACACGGCCCAGACUCCUACGGGAGGCAGCAGUAGGGAAUCUUCGGCAAUGGACGAAAGUCUGACCGAGCAACGCCGCGGGAGUGAAGAAGGUUUUCGGAUCGUAAAGCUCUGUUGUAAGAGAAGAACGGGUGUGAGAGUGGAAAGUUCACACUGUGACGGUAGCUGACCAGAAAGGGACGGCUAACUACGUG
rnacentral:rRNA from 1 species